rnacentral:rRNA from 1 species
CGAAUGCUGACAUAAGUAACGAUAAAGCGGGUGAAAAGCCCGCUCGCCGGAAGACCAAGGGUUCCUGUCCAACGUUAAUCGGGGCAGGGUGAGUCGACCCCUAAGGCGAGGCCGAAAGGCGUAGUCGAUGGGAAACAGGUUAAUAUUCCUGUACUUGGUGUUACUGCGAAGGGGGGACGGAGAAGGCUAUGUUGGCCGGGCGACGGUUGUCCCGGUUUAAGCGUGUAGGCUGGUUUUCCAGGCAAAUCCGGAAAAUCAAGGCUGAGGCGUGAUGACGAGGCACUACGGUGCUGAAGCAACAAAUGCCCUGCUUCCAGGAAAAGCCUCUAAGCAUCAGGUAACAUCAAAUCGUACCCCAAACCGACACAGGUGGUCAGGUAGAGAAUACCAAGGCGCUUGAGAGAACUCGGGUGAAGGAACUAGGCAAAAUGGUGCCGUAACUUCGGGAGAAGGCACGCUGAUAUGUAGGUGAAGUCCCUCGCGGAUGGAGCUGAAAUCAGUCGAAGAUACCAGCUGGCUGCAACUGUUUAUUAAAAACACAGCACUGUGCAAACACGAAAGUGGACGUAUACGGUGUGACGCCUGCCCGGUGCCGGAAGGUUAAUUGAUGGGGUCAGCGCAAGCGAAGCUCUUGAUCGAAGCCCCGGUAAACGGCGGCCGUAACUAUAACGGUCCUAAGGUAGCGAAAUUCCUUGUCGGGUAAGUUCCGACCUGCACGAAUGGCGUAAUGAUGGCCAGGCUGUCUCCACCCGAGACUCAGUGAAAUUGAACUCGCUGUGAAGAUGCAGUGUACCCGCGGCAAGACGGAAAGACCCCGUGAACCUUUACUAUAGCUUGACACUGAACAUUGAGCCUUGAUGUGUAGGAUAGGUGGGAGGCUUUGAAGUGUGGACGCCAGUCUGCAUGGAGCCGACCUUGAAAUACCACCCUUUAAUGUUUGAUGUUCUAACGUGGACCCGUGAUCCGGGUUGCGGACAGUGUCUGGUGGGUAGUUUGACUGGGGCGGUCUCCUCCUAAAGAGUAACGGAGGAGCACGAAGGUUGGCUAAUCCUGGUCGGACAUCAGGAGGUUAGUGCAAUGGCAUAAGCCAGCUUGACUGCGAGCGUGACGGCGCGAGCAGGUGCGAAAGCAGGUCAUAGUGAUCCGGUGGUUCUGAAUGGAAGGGCCAUCGCUCAACGGAUAAAAGGUACUCCGGGGAUAACAGGCUGAUACCGCCCAAGAGUUCAUAUCGACGGCGGUGUUUGGCACCUCGAUGUCGGCUCAUCACAUCCUGGGGCUGAAGUAGGUCCCAAGGGUAUGGCUGUUCGCCAUUUAAAGUGGUACGCGAGCUGGGUUUAGAACGUCGUGAGACAGUUCGGUCCCUAUCUGCCGUGGGCGCUGGAGAACUGAGGGGGGCUGCUCCUAGUACGAGAGGACCGGAGUGGACGCAUCACUGGUGUUCGGGUUGUCAUGCCAAUGGCACUGCCCGGUAGCUAAAUGCGGAAGAGAUAAGUGCUGAAAGCAUCUAAGCACGAAACUUGCCCCGAGAUGAGUUCUCCCUGACCCUUUAAGGGUCCUGAAGGAACGUUGAAGACGACGACGUU